GGAGCUGUAGCUCAGUGGCAGAGCAUUUGCUUUCUAUGCAGAAGAUCCCAAGUUCAAUCCCUGGCAUCUCCA